rnacentral:rRNA from 1 species
UACGUAGGAUGCAAGCGUUGUCCGGAGUUAUUGGGCGUAAAGCGCACGUAGGCGGUGCGGUAAGUGUGGUGUGAAAUCUGCGGGCUUAACCCGCAGCGGUCGCUGCAGACUGCCGUGCUUGAGGGCUGGAGAGGAAGAUGGAAUUCCCGGUGUAGUGGUGAAAUGCGUAGAUAUCGGGAGGAACACCAGUGGCGAAGGCGGUCUUCUGGCCAGUUUCUGACGCUGAGGUGCGAAAGC